GUGCUUGCUUCAGCAGCAUGUAUACUAAAUUGGAAAAAUAUAGAGGACAUUGGCAUGACUCCUGUGUAAGGAUAACAUACAAAUUUGUUCAGCAUUCUAUAUUUUU
ensembl:snRNA U6 U6 spliceosomal RNA